CUACGGGCCGCUGCAGUGGGGAAUAUUGCACAAUGGGCGCAAGCCUGAUGCAGCCAUGCCGCGUGUAUGAAGAAGGCCUUCGGGUUGUAAAGUACUUUCAGCGGGGAGGAAGGGAGUAAAGUUAAUACCUUUGCUCAUUGACGUUACCCGCAGAAGAAGCACCGGCUAACUCCGUGCCAGCAGCCGCGGUAAUACGGAGGGUGCAAGCGCUAAUCGGAAUUACUGGGCGUAAAGCGCACGCAGGCGGUUUGUUAAGUCAGAUGUGAAAUCCCCGGGCUCAACCUGGGAACUGCAUCUGAUACUGGCAAGCUUGAGUCUCGUAGAGGGGGGUAGAAUUCCAGGUGUAGCGGUGAUAUGCGUAGAGAUCUGGAGGAAUACCGGUGGCGAAGGCGGCCCCCUGGACGAAGACUGACGCUCAGGUGCGAAAGCGUGGGGAGCAAACAGGAUUAGAUACCCCAGUAGUC
rnacentral:rRNA from 1 species